AGCGAACGCUGGCGGCAGGCUUAACACAUGCAAGUCGAGCGGGCACUCUCGGGUGUCAGCGGCGGACGGGUGAGUAACGCGUGGGAACGUGCCUUCUGGUUCGGAAUAACUCAGGGAAACUUGAGCUAAUACCGGAUACGCCCUUUUGGGGAAAGGCGUGUUGCCGGAGGAUCGGGCCGCGUCUGAUUACCUGGUUGGUGAGGUAACGGCAAACCAAGGCGAGGAUUAGGAGCUGGGCUGAGAGGAUGAUCAGCCACACUGGGACUGAGACACGGCCCAGACUCCUACGGAAGGGAGCAGUGGGGUGUAUUAGGGGAUGGGGGCAGGCGUGACAAAGCCGCGCCGGGGAAGAGAUGCAUGCGUUAGGGUUGUGAAGCUCUUUUAGCCGGGGCGAUAGUGACGGUACCGGAUAAAUAAGCCCCGGCUAACUACGUG
rnacentral:rRNA from 1 species